rnacentral:rRNA from 1 species
GAGAUGGAUUCCUUCAGUUCGGCUGGACAAUGUACAGGUGCUGCAUGGCUGUCGUCAGCUCGUGUCGUGAGAUGUUCGGUUAAGUCCGGCAACGAGCGCAACCCACGUCCUUAGUUACCAGCAUUUAGUUGGGUACCCUAAGGAGACUGCCGGUGAUAAGCCGGAGGAAGGUGUGGACGACGUCAAGUCAUCAUGGCCCUUACGGGUUGGGCUACACACGUGCUACAAUGGCAUCUACAGUGAGUUAAUCUCCAAAAGAUGUCUCAGUUCGGAUUGGGGUCUGCAACUCGACCCCAUGAAGUUGGAAUCGCUAGUAAUCGCGGAACAGCAUGCCGCGGUGAAUA